rnacentral:rRNA from 1 species
GACAGAGGGGGCAAGCGUUGCUCGGAAUUACUGGGCGUAAAGGGCGCGUAGGCGGGAUGGCAAGUCGGUCGUGAAAUCCCUACGGCUCAACCGAGGAACGUCGAUCGAUACUGCUGUUCUUGAGGAUUGCAGAGGAGACUGGAAUUCCCGGUGUAGCGGUGAAAUGUGUAGAGAUCGGGAGGAACGACCGGUGGCGAAGGCGGGUCUCUGGGCAAUUCCUGACGCUGAGGCGCGAAAGCGUGGGGAGCAAACGGG